CCUACGGGAGGCAGCAGUGGGGAAUAUUGGGCAAUGGGCGAAAGCCUGACCCAGCGACGCCGCGUGGGUGAUGAAGGCCUUCGGGUUGUAAAGCCCUUUCGUGCGGAAAGAACUGUCCCAUUGUUAAUACCAAUGGGAUUUGACGGUACCGCAGGAAGAAGCACCGGCUAACUCCGUGC
rnacentral:rRNA from 1 species